rnacentral:rRNA from 1 species
GAUGAACGCUAGCUACAGGCUUAACACAUGCAAGUCGAGGGGCAGCAGGGAUUUAGCUUGCUAAAUUCGCUGGCGACCGGCGCACGGGUGCGUAACGCGUAUCCAACUUUCCCGUUACUCUCGGAUAGCCUUCCGAAAGGGAGAUUAAUACGAGAUGGUGUUCUAAUUUCGCAUGUUAUUAGAACUAAAGAUUUAUCGGUAACGGAUAGGGAUGCGUGACAUUAGAUAGUUGGCGGGUAACGGCCACCAAGUCUACGAUGUCUAGGGGUUCUGAGAGGAAGGUCCCCCCANACUGGAACCGAGACACGGUCCAGACUCCUACGGGAGGCAGCAGUGAGGAAUAUUGGGUCAAUGGUCGGAAGACUGAACCAGCCAAGUAGCGUGAAGGAUGAAGGUUCUAUGGAUUGUAAACUUCUUUUAUACGGGAAUAAAACCUCCACGUGUGGGAGCUUGUAUGUACCGUAUGAAUAAGCAUCGGCUAACUCCGUG